GACGAACGCUGGCGGCGUGCUUAACACAUGCCAGUCGAACGGAAAGGCCCUGCUUUUGUGGGGUGCUCGAGUGGCGAACGGGUGAGUAACACGUGAGUAACCUGCCCUUGACUUUGGGAUAACUUCAGGAAACUGGGGCUAAUACCGGAUAGGAGCUCCUGCUGCAUGGUGGGGGUUGGAAAGUUUCGGCGGUUGGGGAUGGACUCGCGGCUUAUUAGCUUGUUGGUGGGGUAGUGGCUUACCAAGGCUUUGACGGGUAGCCGGCCUGAGAGGGUGACCGGCCACAUUGGGACUGAGAUACGGCCCAGACUCCUACGGGAGGCAGCAGUGGGGAAUAUUGCACAAUGGGCGGAAGCCUGAUGCAGAAACGCCGCGUGCGGGAUGACGGCCUUCGGGUUGUAAACCGCUUUCGCCUGUGACGAAGCGUGAGUGACGGUAAUGGGUAAAGAAGCACCGGCUAACUACGUG
rnacentral:rRNA from 1 species